rnacentral:rRNA from 1 species
UACGAAGGGGGCUAGCGUUGCUCGGAAUCACUGGGCGUAAAGGGUGCGUAGGCGGGUCUUUAAGUCAGGGGUGAAAUCCUGGAGCUCAACUCCAGAACUGCCUUUGAUACUGAAGAUCUUGAGUUCGGGAGAGGGGAGUGGAACUGCGAGUGUAGAGGUGAAAUGCGUAGAUAUUCGGAAGAACACCAGUGGCGAAGGCGACUCACUGGACACGUAUUGACGCUGAGGUGCGAAAGCGUGGGGAGCAAACAGG